GGUGGGGCCGAAGGCGGGAGCUGCGUGGGGCCCGGCCCAGGUGGGCGAGAGCGCGUCGAGGGCCCUGAGCGGCGCGGCUUUCCUUCCCUUCCCCUCGGACGCGGAGGCCCUUCCCGCACCGCGGCGAGGCUACAACAGGUACAGUUACCUUUGACUGCAAGUACAUCCCUCCCAACACGCAGCUUAUCUAAAAUAACAGGAUCCCUAAGCAGAGCGAUACUUCCAGUGACUGGACAGAGGUCUUCACAGUUUUACUGACUGCUUUGCCACAGCAUACCAUCUCAAAGGCAUGUUCUAUGCAUUCUUUUUUUCCUGUACACUUGUAAAACACUUAGUUUGACUUACAUGUGGAGUCACUCAGGCAAAUAAAAAGCAAAAAUAUCACCUUAA